CCUACGGGAGGCAGCAGUGAGGAAUAUUGGUCAAUGGGCGCAAGCCUGAACCAGCCAAGUCGCGUGAGGGAUGAAGGUUCUAUGGGUCGUAAACUUCUUUUAUAAGGGAAUAAAGUGCGGGACGUGUCCCGUUUUGUAUGUACCUUAUGAAUAAGACUCGGCUAACUCCGUGCCAGCAGCCGCUGUAAUACGGAGGAUCCGCGCGUUAUCCGUAUUUAUUGGGUUUAAAGGGAGCGUAGAGGGCCUGUUAAGUCAGCGGUGAAAGUCUGUGGCUCAACCAUAGAAUUGCCGUUGAUACUGGCAGGCUUGAGUAUGGUUGAGGCAGGCGGAAUGCGUGGUGUAGCGGUGAAAUGCUUAGAUAUCACGCAGAACCCCGAUUGCGAAGGCAGCUUGCCAAGCCGUGACUGACGCUGAUGCACGAAAGCGUGGGGAUCAAACAGGAUUAGAUACCCUAGUAGUC
rnacentral:rRNA from 1 species